GAUGAACGCUAGCGGCAGGCUUAACACAUGCAAGUCGAGGGGUAGAGGAAGCUUGCUUCCUUGAGACCGGCGCACGGGUGCGUAACGCGUAUACAAUCUACCUUUUACAGAGGGAUAGCCCCAGAGAAAUUUGGAUUAAUACCUCAUAGUAUUUUCGGAUCGCAUGAUUUGAUUAUUAAAGUUCCAACGGUAAAGAUGAGUAUGCGUCCCAUUAGCUAGAUGGUAAGGUAACGGCUUACCAUGGCAAUGAUGGGUAGGGGUCCUGAGAGGGAGAUCCCCCACACUGGUACUGAGACACGGACCAGACUCCUACGGGAGGCAGCAGUGAGGAAUAUUGGACAAUGGGCGCAAGCCUGAUCCAGCCAUGCCGCGUGCAGGAUGACGGUCCUAUGGAUUGUAAACUGCUUUGUACAGGAGAAACCCUUUCACGUGUGGAAGAUUGACGGUACUGUAAGAAUAAGGAUCGGCUAACUCCGU
rnacentral:rRNA from 1 species